rnacentral:rRNA from 1 species
UCCGUAGGUGAACCUGCGGAAGGAUCAUUAUCGUACCAAUAGUCUUUAUGAUUAAACCUUUUGUGAACCAAAAAACCUUUACGCUUCGGCAGCAGGCUUGUGGGUUUGGCUGUAACAGGCCUGCCCCAAACCGUCAGCCUGCCGGCAGCACUUUAUACAAAACUUGUUUAAAAACUAGUCUGAACAGAAUCAUUUUCGAAUGAAAAUUAAAACUUUCAACAACGGAUCUCUUGGUUCUCGCAUCGAUGAAGAACGCAGCGAAACGCGAUAGUUAAUGUGAAUUGCAGAAUUCAGUGAAUCAUCGAGUCUUUGAACGCACAUUGCGCCCAUAGGUAUUCCUUUGGGCAUGUCUGUUUGAGCGUCAUUACAACCCUCAGCACCUGCUGGUUAUGAGCCUGGCUGAAAAACCUCGCAAGAGGUUGGAAAUCCGGCUUUAAAAGUUGUAUGCUCUGCUGGCUGCUCUGCCUGACCAAAACAUAGUAAUCUCUACGACUGUUUAGAACGGCUCUGCACGCUCGGCCUGAAUAAAAACCCAACUUCUCAGGUUUGACCUCAGGAUCAGGACAAGGGGAUACCCGGCUGGAACUUAAGGCAUAUCAAUAAGGCGGGGAGGGGAAGGUCGGACUGGCCAAGGGGCACACAGGGGGGGGGGAUA